UGGGGAAUAUUGGACAAUGGGCGGAAGCCUGAUCCAGCCAUGCCGCGUGUGUGAAGAAGGCCUUUUGGUUGUAAAGCACUUUAAGCGAGGAGGAGGCUACUUGGAUUAAUACUGUAGGAUAGUGGACGUUACUCGCAGAAUAAGCACCGGCUAACUCUGUGCCAGCAGCCGCGGUAAUACAGAGGGUGCGAGCGUUAAUCGGAUUUACUGGGCGUAAAGCGUGCGUAGGCGGCUUCUUAAGUCGGAUGUGAAAUCCCUGAGCUUAACUUAGGAAUUGCAUUCGAUACUGGGAAGCUAGAGUAUGGGAGAGGAUGGUAGAAUUCCAGGUGUAGCGGUGAAAUGCGUAGAGAUCUGGAGGAAUACCGAUGGCGAAGGCAGCCAUCUGGCCUAAUACUGACGCUGAGGUACGAAAGCAUGGGGAGCAAACAGG
rnacentral:rRNA from 1 species